UUUGGUAUUCACUUCCUGGGUGAAUAACAGGAAGGAGGGAAGUGAAGAUUGAGGGACUCUUAAUCACUUCUUCAUUGCUUAUGAAAAGAGAAACUUGUGAACUUGCUUUUGGAGAGGGUUUGAAAUCCUUGAAGGGGCUGACUCACACAAAGAAACAAAUGGUGGUGCUCUUUAUGCAUCCAUUAUGAACCAGUGACACAUGUCAGAAUCCUACAUGCUUUAUUAUGAAGAUCCUUUACCUUACAUGUGUGUUCUUCUGCAUAGCCUUUUUGUUUACUCCAGGAAUUGGAAAUACAAUUAAAACAGAAAAAGAAUGUCAUGCUGCUGAAGGCUAUUGCAAGAUGGGGGAAUGUUUAUAUCCUAAAUUUAAGCUCAUUGGAUUCUGUAGGAAAGUUUUUUAUUGCUGUAAAAAGAAUGUACACAGGUACAAUACUAGGAAUGACAAGAAUUAUAAAUUAAUGCACAUGUGGUUGUGGAAGCAUAAAAAUGACAUGCUUAGGGACAACUAGCUAUGUGGAAGCAACUCAGAAGAGAGUAUCAUGCUUUAAAAAAAUGUGAACCUAAAAUUAAUGGUUGAAUGCUUCAGCUCUGAGUCUGAAUACCAAAAAAAAAUAAUUGGAACAGCAGCCAAGGCUAGAUUCAUUAUCAGACCAUCUGUUUGUCUCAUUACUAUUUCUAGUAUUGCUGUCAAAGGCAAAAACUGAAAAAUAAACACUGACAUCUAUAAUAAA